ACGUAGGGUGCGAGCGUUAAUCGGAAUUACUGGGCGUAAAGCGUGCGCAGGCGGUUCGCUAAGACGGGUGUGAAAUCCCCGGGCUUAACCUGGGAAUUGCACUCGUGACUGGCAGGCUAGAGUACGGUAGAGGGGGGUAGAAUUCCAGGUGUAGCGGUGAAAUGCGUAGAGAUCUGGAGGAAUACCGAUGGCGAAGGCGGCCCCCUGGGCAGAGACUGACGCUCAGGCGCGAAAGCGUGGGGAGCAAACAG
rnacentral:rRNA from 1 species